rnacentral:rRNA from 1 species
UACGAAGGGGGCUAGCGUUGUUCGGAUUUACUGGGCGUAAAGCGCACGUAGGCGGAUCGUUAAGUCGGGUGUGAAAUUUCGGAGCUUAACUCCGAAGCUGCAUUCGAUACUGCGGUGCUUGAGGACUGGAGAGGAGACUGGAAUUCAUGGUGUAGCAGUGAAAUGCGUAGAGAUCAGGAGGAAGACCAGUGGCGAAGGCGGGUCUCUGGACAGUUCCUGACACUGAGGCACGAAAGCCAGGGGAGCAAACGGG